GAAAUGCGAUAAGUAAUGUGAAUUGCAGAAUUCCGUGAAUCAUCGAAUCUUUGAACGCAUAUUGCGCCCCCUGGUAUUCCGGAGGGCAUGCCUGUCCGAGCGUCAUUACCAUCUUCAAGCGCGGCUUGUGUGUUGAGCCUUUGUUCUUUAAAUGGACAGGCUUGAAAUGCAGUGGCAAUGAUUGUCUGGUGCCCGAGCGUAUAGGGAUUUUUUAUCACCCGCUCUGUUGGCUCCAGCUAGCAUUUGUGCCCAAAACUUUUGAUUGAAUUCAAAAAACCAAAAAAAACUGACCUCGGAUCAGGCAAGGAUACCCGCUGAACUUAA
rnacentral:misc_RNA from 1 species